UGGGGAAUAUUGCACAAUGGGCGCAAGCCUGAUGCAGCCAUGCCGCGUGUAUGAAGAAGGCCUUCGGGUUGUAAAGUACUUUCAGCGGGGAGGAAGGUGUUGAGGCUAAUAACCUCAGCAAUUGACGUUACCCGCAGAAGAAGCACCGGCUAACUCCGUGCCAGCAGCCGCGGUAAUACGGAGGGUGCAAGCGUUAAUCGGAAUUACUGGGCGUAAAGCGCACGCAGGCGGUCUGUCAAGUCGGAUGUGAAAUCCCCGGGCUCAACCUGGGAACUGCAUUCGAAACUGGCAGGCUAGAGUCUUGUAGAGGGGGGUAGAAUUCCAGGUGUAGCGGUGAAAUGCGUAGAGAUCUGGAGGAAUACCGGUGGCGAAGGCGGCCCCCUGGACAAAGACUGACGCUCAGUUGCGAAAGCGUGGGGAUCAAACA
rnacentral:rRNA from 1 species